rnacentral:rRNA from 1 species
UAACGCGUGGGUAACCUGCCUCAUACAGGGGGAUAACAGUUAGAAAUGACUGCUAAUACCGCAUAAGCGCACAGCAUCGCAUGAUGCCGUGUGAAAAACUCCGGUGGUAUGAGAUGGACCCGCGUCUGAUUAGCUAGUUGGUGAGGUAACGGCCCACCAAGGCGACGAUCAGUAGCCGGCCUGAGAGGGUGAACGGCCACAUUGGGACUGAGACACGGCCCAA